GGGGGGGGGGGGGGGGGGGGGGGGGGGGGGGGGGGGGGGGGGGGGGGGGGGGGGGGGGGGGGGGGGGGGGGGGGGGGGGGGGGGUGGGGGGGGGGGGGGGGGGGGGGGACUAAAAUGCUCAACUCGAAAUAGUUCAGUGACCAAACAUAGAAUAGAACUUUAAAUGUUUUUGUGUUCGAUAGGAGUCGUACACUAAUCAUAAUAAAAGUUAGGCAACAAUAUCAGGUUAUGGUAUUUUACCAAAUUUAGAGCUCCAAAUGUACAUUUUAAUCUUUUUUUUCCAGGUGCAAUUCAAUGGCGUCAUACUUUCACUUUUGGUGCAAUCUCAACAUUUUAAAGUUAAGAAUACAGUUAUUUAAAGUAAAAAUGUUUUACAAGUUGCAACGUUUAUUAAAUGUCACAAAUUAUAAAAAAAACAAACUUUUGUUUGUUUCUUUCCAUUUCCCUUUUGAUAUUUCAGGGAAAACAUUAGGAAAAGAACCCAUCCUCUCAAAUUGCAGAGUUCAAUUACAUUUUACCCCAAACUAAUAAUGCUUUGUUAACAAAUAAUAGCAUCAGAAAAUAAAUUCUUUUGACACAAUAUUCUUUUUCAUCCCUACGUGACAGGAAAUGCACCAAAAAAAAAGCUUAAAUUAACAUUGCACCCAAAAAAAAAGUAGUAAAUUUGUAUGUACAAUCUCAUACAAAUGGUAAAUUUGACCAUUACCCUAAUUAAAAUAUAAAAUUAACUGAAGGUACAGACUUUUGUCAUACUUUGCUUCAGACUCAUAUUUAAGGCUGAAGAAAAUUGGAUACGUAAAGUUUAAAGCAUGAUACAGGUUUGAAGAAUCUUACACCAAGAAUUUCCAUCCUUGACAUCCAAAGUUAUGGCUUCCCUGGCAUGUUGAAUACUUUCCUCAACCAUUUCUGCCUGAUUAUCCGCACCUACAGAAGACAGAAAACCUUUGUAAGAAACAAUGAAGCAUCUUUGUUUAUGAUAAGACCAGAAAAAAAGCCCAAAUAAGAGCAACCGUAUUGCUUGAUAGUUGAUAAUAUAGUUUUCCAAGUCAUUUUUUAAUUUCUUUUGCAUGAGGGGAAACCCUCAAGGUAGUUCUGAAUACUCAACUACCUAAAAACAGCCACUUAGAUUAAAAUAAAGGCACUUUAAAAUGCAUUAAUUUAAUGUAACAAUAGUUAAGCAUAUUUAUAUUAUUUCUGGCCUUCGAUACUUCUCAUCCAAAUUCAAAGAAUUUUGACAGUUAAAAUUUUCUGUAACCAAACAAGAUAAUUUUAUUUUAGAAUUUUAGAAAUUCUCUUUAAUGAGAUCCCUCCUCGAGCUCAAGCAUCCAAAGCACUAUAAGUGAAUUGAUCUUCAUGCCAAACUUUAUGCCACCAACAAUGUACAGAGGGAGUGCACACCAAGCACUAAAAAUGAGGAUAUAUCAUGACCUAAAAGCAUCAACAAUUUGAUAGGUAUCUUAUUUUAAACUGCCAUUAACAAAAGAAAAAUGUGGCUGCCCCUCAGUCAAAGUAGAAUAAUAACUGCUUCCAUUGAAAUCCAGCAUUUUAUGGGUUUAGUAGUAAAGCAAGGAUCCAACAGAAAUUGCCAAAUGUGCCAGCAGCAAGUUACCCUGCCUUAAGGAAGCGAUGUCUUUUAGACAUGGAUAAGGAAUCAAAAACAGCUAAGACAUACAGAAGAUCAAGAAACCCGUGGGCUUAUACCAAUAUCAAGCAUGUCAAUUUGUUCAUCAGCUCAAACAAGUUGGUUCCAUAUAAAUCAAAAGAAAUUCUUUAAUACAUUUGUGAUUAAUUUCUCAGUAAACAUAAACUCAUUUUUGAAAGAGAAAUUCUGCUAUGUGUUUUGCCUGAUUUCUCAGGAUCAGAUUCUCAACUUCCACAACCCACCUAGCUAAGCAUUCCAACACCACUUUAAAAAAUGACUGAUUGACUACUGCUAAUCCCUGAAAGGCUGAUUUUAAGUUCAAAAACAGAUAAGUUGGCUUCCGAACUCCAUAAGCAUCCAGAAACAAUGCAUAAGAGAAGAACCAGAAGUGAUUAAGAAGAAAAAAAAAGGAACAAAAUCCCUUGCCUUGAGCCAUUCUUCUUUCCAGCAUUGAUAAUUGGCAAAGUAUCUUCUUAUUCGGGCCCUGUAUGAUACAGAAUCAAUACAUACAAUUAAUUGAUAUGUGAACUAUAAAGAAAGUAUAAUAACUAAAAACACACACUUAAAAGUAAAAACUCCAAUGUGGAUUCUAACCUUGCUUAAUGCAAGAUUAAAGCAGUUCUUUGCUGAAGUCAAAUCUCCCUUCUUCCAAAUGCAGUUACCCAAACAAAGCCAAGCAUCUCCAAGAGAUGGAUUCAGUUUAACCUGGACAAGAAAAAAUAUUAGAUAAAAAGCAUAAGCCUUAUUCAGAGCCCAAGCAUUAUAGCAAGCCAUAAAAACAAGUGAACACUCUAUUCCUGCUUACUGCUUUUGAAAGAUGAUCCUCUGCUUCCUUCCUAUAGUCAGGCACUACAUCUAAUAUCUUCCCUCGUAGAUACUCAUAUGCUGCACGCCGUGCGGGUAAUUUUCUUUGUUCUGUAGUAAAAGAUGUUUAGUUAAAUGUUUUAAUGAGCCAAAAAAGUUUGAUAUAAACAUAAGGCUAAAAAAGAAAAGAUGAGAAUUUCUGGUCCCAUUUCUGUUUGUAAUUCCAUGGUGCUGUUGCACAUCAGCAGAUUAUAUCCAACAUGAUCAAAAUAUAUAUAAGAACACCAAUCUAACAGAAAUAUAUAGGUUGAAGUACGAAUUCACUCCCUUCACCAUUUUAAUUUGACCAUUUAGACUCUCUCAGUCAAUAUUAACGAAUUUAAUCCUUACACUAUUAUUAAAAGUUACUUGAAAGACAAUUGAGAAAAACUCUACUGUUAAUUUGGAUAAUGCAGCAUUUCGGUCAUGGCGUGGCAUGACAUAAUGGUUAAUCAUCUAUAUCGAUAUAUAUAUAUAUACAUGUACACUUCUAUAAAAUCCUAUAACAAAUUUCACGAUAGUUUGAUCUCGAGAGUCAAAGUAACAAAAAAAAUUUAUAAGAGCGCAAGUAUUAAACUCAAUAAAAAUUGGAGCACAAGCAUCAAGUAAAACAUCCAGUUAGAAUAGUUUAGAGUUAGUAGAAGUGCCAAAUUCUGACAUUUUAGACUGAAACAUUUGUAUAAAUUUCUAGUAAUAGGUAUUUAAGUCUUCAGUGUUCUCAAGCAAGAAGCUUCAAAUCCGCAUUCAAUGCAGAGUUGUUGUAAUCGCAGAGGGAUGGCAGCAACAAAUUUGAUAGCAUAAAUAAAAAGUAGAACCCAAACCAUUUGGUUGCAAGCAAGAAGAAAAAAAAUGAACAGUAUGAUUAGGGAAAAUACCAGCAGGAAUGGAAUCGAGGAGAUUGAGAGCGAGAUCGGAUUCGUGUUGCAGUUUAGAGGUUUUAUCAUCGGGGUUUUGAGGGAAAAAAGUGUCUCUAAUCUCGUACAAAUCAUCAGCUACUUUUGUGGCUUUUGCCCAUACAUCAUCUUCUUCUGCUGCCAUGUUACUUCGCCGGCAAAGGGAAAGGGAGGAAGUUGGCAAAAUGAAAACAAAGCUCGAACCCCUCUAAUUCCAGCCCUGGACUCCAAACAGUUUCAUUUCUGAUUAAGCCUCGUGCAGGAGUCAUCAAUUCUCUAGUGAUUCGCUCCAAAACGGCACCGGCUAAGCUCGAUGAAAACAAUCGGUUUAUUUUCGUACUCCAUUUUAACUUUUAACCUGGGCGGGUGAACUUGUGAGCUAUCGAUGAUACCAUCUGCGGUUUGAGCUCAAUUUAAUUGGAUUUUCAAAAACUAAUCUGGACAAGUUUGUCCUUUACUCAUAUUAAUUAUAAAGGAUUAUUAUUUGAUACAUCUUCAUUGAUUUUUUUUGGUUGAAUAGGAGGAAAGCUAAUUACAUAGCAUAUGUAGGCCUAGAAUUAGUGCCUAACAAAGUAACGAGUUGUUGGAGUUGUAUGAACCUGUAAUCCUUGCUCUUAGUGUCACGGGGCUAGAUUGAACUGUGGCCCGUGACACUAGGAUCUUGUAAGAAUCGCCAAUGCAUGUGUAGCAGUGUUGGACUCUUUGUAAAUGUGAGUAACAUGGACUAUCCAAUUCCUAUGUUGAAUUUGCUUGAUGCACAAGGUCAACGCGUAGUUCCCAUAGUUGUCAUCUUCAUUGGUGUAAGCUUGGACAACAACUUUGCUAUCACUUUCGAGAAGAAUAUGGUUAGCACCUUUGGACCAAAGUAGCUGCAGACCAUAAAAAAUCAUCCACGGUUCCGUCACAACUGCAAUACAAUUGUUGAUGUUCCUUCCAUAGCCUAUAACCCAUUUACCAUGUUGAUCCCUAACCACCUCCAUUGCUGAAGCAAGACACAAAUUGGACCAACAACUACCAUCGGUAUUCAGCUUGACCCAAUUCACUAGUGGAGCUUGCCAUAUAUCUUGACAAGUCCUACCAUUUGGAAUUGUAACUUCCCCUUCACUGAUAUUUAAAGUCCAAAACCAACAGGUUCUCAAAAAAGAAAAGAGUUCAAGAUGCACCCCUUUAAAAAUCAAUAAAUUCCUUUGCUUCCAUAGUCUCCAAAUAACCAUUCCAAAGAUCAUUGGCCAGUAGGCAUUAUGAAAAUGAAAGUCGAAACUGUUUUGUAAAUUCAUAUAGAUCCAUUAAGAGAGAUGUAUCGAAAAACGAAGAUGGUACCUGAGAGGAAAGAAACUGCAGCCACGCCCUUCAAGCUUAUUGACAGUUUCGUAGGAUAUGCAGAACAAUUUCCUCAGUCGCAACACAAACACAACAUGAUGGAUCAUCCGUGAAACCACGCUUCUGUCUUUCCUUAUUUGUAAGUAACUUGCCUUAAAGAACCAUCUAUAGGAACUGAUUGAUUCGUUGGGGACCUUUAAAAUCCCAAAACGUAGUCCAUAUGUGACCCCUUAUAUCCGACCCAAUUAGAGGAUCUGAAUAUAAAAUGUCACAUUCAAAUGCCGAAACAACCUAUUUUACUUUAUUGGAAUGGUAGUGUAGUGGUAAAAUUAUUUUUUUUAAAAAUUUCGACAGCACGCCUGCUUAUUUUACAUAAAAACUCCGACAAAAUUUAGAUGUCACAAUAUAUUCAUAUUCAAAUCAUCUCUCAAAUCAAUAACACAUCAAUAUUCUAAAACAUAACGCAAACUAAGCAUAUCACAUUAAAACCAUUUAAUUAACUAAUAAUAUUAUGGUUAUAGCAACAAAAAGUUACUUUUUUAUGUCACAAAUACAUAUUUAUAGCCAAAUGACUUUACUAAAAACCAAGUACAAGCCAACUUGAAACAAAACAAAAUAUACGAACUUUGUUGAGUCUAGGAUUUGUCAGUUGGAUGUUGGUCACUCUGAGUACAAAAACUAAAAAUACACCUAGCUUGCAUAUGAAAACAAGACCAUUUGGUGAGUAUUAAUUUCAAAUGGUAUUACUAUAACUUACUCAAUAUAGCAUGACAUUUAAAUAAAUGGACUCAGUUGAUUUAUUUCUUAGAUCAAUUCAAGUAUGUUUUAUAUCAAAGUUUAUCCAAAACAUUAAUAUACACAUGUAUCCCAAACAAACCAAAUGUGAUAUUUUAACUAACCAAUCUAUUUUAACAAACUUAUUAACACUUUUUGCUAACGAUGUAUGCAACCUUUUUCAAUUUUGUCUCAUUUUUUCAUAUUACAUUACAUUACCAAUUUAUAUCAAACAAUUCUUCUUGUUCAAUAUUGAUGUUUGCUAAUACAUAGCUCGGAUCCAAACUAAUUUACAGAUCCUAUUAAUACUAUAAUUCAGCACCUUAUCAAUACAUCCGAACUAAACAAAUUAUGUUCAGUGCUCAUCGGUUAAUCCAAAGCAAUAAUCGUGCCCAACACUCGGUGAUAUGUCUGAUGGUCAGUGCGCCUGGCACUCAUUGACCUAUAGUCGAAGUAAUUUUAUAUUGGUACAUCUGAUGUAAACAAUUCGCGCCCUGCGCUCAGCGGUUCAGCCGAAAUAGUAAUUGUGAAAGCCAGAAUUGGGAUGUUCGAAGGAAAAUGCACCUAAAGCUCAUCGACUUAUAGUUGAAGCAAUUAUUAUUACUAUUAUUUUACUUGAUUCUAUAACUCAAUAAUUAUUCUCAAUUUUGCCCAACAAUUACUACAACAACCCAUGGUCUAAUUUCAUUCUCAGUUCAAUUUCCAUUCUAUUGAUCUCAAGAACAACUCUUCUAUUGAAUGUCAUUUCAUAUAAAAUAUGACAUGAUUUGUCUCAUGUUCAAGCUAAAUGCGCAACUUUACUAUUAUACUAUUUCAAAUUUUUAUGCAAUUUAACUCUUUAUCACAAUAAUCAAUCUCAAUAUUGUAUUUCUAGUCAGACAUUCAUGCAUAACUUCCUUCGUUUUGAAAAAUUUACCUAACAAUGAAAUUAAAAAGAAAAAUAAAUAAUAAGUUAAGUUAUGGUGAUACUUAAUUUGCUUCGGUUUAAACGAUGAGACAUUAGGUGUCAACUUAUUUUAGUGCUGGGCGCAAUUAUUUGCUUUAGAUUUAUCCGAUGAGCCACUGGGUGCCAAAAUGGUGUGUUGGUUAGAUCCGUGUAUCCGUCUGAGUUCGAGUUGUGUUAAUAGGGAAAGUAAAUGGUAAACUUGAAUUAUUGAAUUUGAAAUGACAAAUGAUGUUGAAGUGGAAAUGCUACUGAAAUAACAAAUGACAUGAAAUGAAAUAUGUAUUAGAAGUCAAAAGAGAAAUAGAAAUGUAUGGAUUGAGUUUGCCAUGUAAUGGUAUUAGUAAAAUGUUUAAGAUAAAAUAAUAUUUGUAUGAUAUUUCACAUUUGACUUGAUACUAGCAUAGCAUUGUUUAGUUUUAGUUGAGCAUGUAAAUGUAUUUGUAUUUUGCUAAUAAUGUUUGGAUAUAGAAAUGUAAUUGAGUUAUACUCAGCAUACAUUUUAACUUGUUGUGCAGGUUAGGUACUUUUUGGUUCGUACAUUGACUCAGCAUCCAAAGAUAAUCCCCAGACUCAACAUUUGGUGAUGUUCCUAUUUUGUUUCUUGGCAUGUACCUAAGAAGUCUUUUAGGUUAUAAGCCUAUUUUGUAUGUUAAUGGACAUUUUGUAUUUUGGUUGAAAAUAUAUAAUUAAUGUGUUUAUAUAGGUUAGUAUGAAUUUAAUAAGUAUGUUAUGUGCAUAAAUUGAGUAAUGGUUUCAUGUGGUAUAACUUUAAUUAGUACAAAGUAGAUAAGUAAUUGCAUAUAUAUAAUUUUAGUUUUAAUAUGUAAAUGUCCAUAUGAGCUUGUUUUUGGUCAUUUGGAAAGGUUUUAUUAUGGCAUUUGAAAUUUGGAAAUUUUAUAUGUAUGCUUUAUGUAUGAAUAUACGAAUUUGAAUGUUGUUAGUUGGUGUGGAAUGUGAUAUUGUUUCAAAUAUUGAAUUGUGGUGUUAAUGAGGGCACAUUGGUUGGAUUUUAAGUGUUUGAAUAUAUGAUAUUAUUGUCUUUUGAUUGCUAGGUAAAUUUAGCAUGGUAUAAACUCUUAAAAUAUGAAAUUUUAUCAUUUUGAUGUUAGGUAUCGAUAUUUUGGCAUUGGUAUCGAUACUUGACCAUAUGAACAGUUUUUUAAAAAAUAAAAUGCCAAAAUGGUAUCGAUUUUUAUUUAAGUAUCAAUACUUUUUCAUAAAAUAUCAAUACCAUAAAAUAAACAUCGAUAUCAUUGAUUUUCAGGUAAACAGAAUUGAAUUUUGGUAUUGAUUUUCAGAAGGUAUUGAUUUGUAUCGAUACCAUCUAUGAAUUCCCAAUAUUGACUUUUAACUUCAUAAUUUUACAAUCCAAUCUUAGUAUAUGCUUGUAUUUUAUAAUUAAGUCCUUGUAGAAUUAUAAUUAUUUAAUAUAUUUAGUUAUAUUCAUAAGUUGUUGAUAAAUAAUUGAAUUUUCUUUAAGUAAGGUAUUUAUUGAAUUGUUGAUUUAUGUCGUAGCAUCUUAUUACUCGAGUCCGCGAUGGGGACGGGUAAGGGGUGUUACAUAAUCACCCUUCGUUUUAUGAUUUGUCGUAAUAUAGCUUUUAGCAAGUAGUUGUUUAGACUUCUUCUUUGCAUGUGCUUAGUUAGGAAUUGCUCAAUCACAGCCUCCUUUGGGUUCAACCCCUUGAAAUACUUCGUGUUCCAUUAAAACUAUAAAUAUUACAUCUGGCACUGUACGCUUGCAGCUAAAAUCACUUUUCAAAAAUAGUCUUUCCAAAAUCACUUGUUUUAAUGCACACGCAAGAUAGCGGUCAACGAUCCUCAGAAUACUUCCCGGUGUUCCAUGGUAACACAUAACUAUAUUAUAAUUUGACUUGUUCACUUACAGAUACCGCACUUUCACUUCCAUAUUUAAUUGCACAUUCUUAAUCCCUAACACACAGAUGUUGGGUGACAGUCAAUCACGCUACAUAGUCCAUCAUCCACUUAGGAUUAAGGUAUGUCACACUAUAAAUGUCACAAGUGAAUAAAUCCAUAAACAGAUUGAAGAUCUAUUCCGUUUGAGUCCAGUCUGAUGUACUAUUAAUCCAGCCAGUCACUAUUUUCUAGAAGUCAUCUUUUCUGAUGCCCAAGACAAAGCAUCUCCCUAGUUGGACUUGAUAAAUGAAAUAUUAGUCUUUCAAUCAGUUUGCUCAUUUCCGAUUAAACUAAGGACAUGUUUAGGUCUGUCUACUAAUACAAGCUGUCUUUCCAUAUUACAAUCCAAUCACGUAAUACUACUUAGUAUUAGUUAAACAUUAGACAACUAGUGAGCUAAUAUUUGCUUCCAUUUUGCUUUACAUGAAAAAACCACAUGAGGACAUUAUAUAAAGAAUAUUACUGUAAUACAUGAAUAAUUUUAUUAACCAAUUUGUUCAAAAAAAUUACAAGUAUACAAAUAAAUAUAGCACAAGAUCCAACACUCGGUUAUAUCAUUUGUCACUCCUAUCUAGAAAUCUCCUCUCGGUCUCAUCCUAAUUAGAAGUUACCACCUAGAAUCUCCUCUCGGUCUCACUACUCAGCACAAUCAUAUUAAAAUUCUACAUGAUAAACUCUCCUCUCGGUCUCAUUUGUCUAGAUUUUCCACUAAAUGCGUCAAUUCUAGUGUAUUAAGCAUUUUAAUAUAAUUGAAAAACCAUUAAACCAACAUCACAAAUAUUAAUCUAAACUAAUAAUUAAUAUUACCAUCAACCAUCAAUACUAUCUAAUACAUCAUAAUGAUCAAAAUCCACACAUGUAUUUUAACAAACAUGUAAAAGGCAGCUAGCAAGUGUAAAGGUUAAGAAUGCUCAUUUAUGGAGAAUGAUCCAAUUGAACGUUGAAGCGUGAUUGAUAAUCAUCUAUAUAGUCUUUAACAAUCAUGAAAUAAAAUCUACACUAUAGAAAAUAUCAAAAAGAAAAGAAAAAAUAAAAUAUAAAAUAUAAAAUAUCUACUAAGAAAACUAAAAGUUUACCAUACUAAUCUACAGCCUCCUAACCUAACUUCUUCUUUUUCACUGAUGAAAGAGUAAUAUUUAUAGUAGAAAAUAAUUAAAACAUUCAAUUACUCAAUUUACCCUACUAAUAAAUUCAACUACGACAAGUUUGACUAGCUUUUCCCCUUGGUUGCCCUUCAUUAUUUCGACUGAUUUUGGCAGUUAUGAGUACAAGGUCUUGACACUAGUGUUGGAGGUCAUGAUGUUGGUUCUUAAAAGGCUUGGUGUCGCAACGUUGCAUGGUUUCCUUGGUUCAGUUCAGAGGUCAAUGUCGCAACAUUGGGAGAUGAAGCUCAUGACGCUACAAGUCAAAAGGCUUGGUGUUACAAUGCUGAAAGGUGGAGGUUACUAUUCUGCAUUGAUGUUGCAACAUUGGCUUCUUGAGGUUGCAACGCUGAAACUACUCUCUUGUUUCCUUCUCUUUCUUCUCCUUUUGAGCUCUUACAAAUGCCUUAGCCAUAUAUUAAGCUCAAUUUCUCAAGUAGUUGAUAUUUUUAUUAAAACUUGUGUAAAAAUGACUUAAAAACACAUUUAAAGUAAAUUCUAACUUAAAAAAAAGUAAUAAAAAGAAAACAUUACUCAAAAAUAUUACUCGAAAACAAGCUCAUUAGGUGUAAAAAGAGCUCGAUUUAUCAUGACGAAUUAUGAUGCAUCAAAUUCCCCCCACUUAAGUAGUUGCUUAUCCUCAAACAAACAACAAAACACACACAACAAGAUGACCCUUGAAUUAUGUCAAGCAACAAGAUGGCAUGACAAUUGAAUAUUGAAUUUGUAAAAGGCAUACCUCACAUGCAACUUAGGAAUGGUGUUUACCUAACUUAAGUACAUUAAAAGUAAAUUUUCCUAGUUUACUAAAUUAAAGAGAUAACAAACCUAGAGGUAGCUUAAAUAAAUACAUACGCAAUCGUCUUUAUCCAUCAACACAAACUAUAUAGAUACAAUAUAGAUGCAAAAUCUAAAUCCAACGCAUUCGUUAUUCUAACUAUAAACAAGUCAAGAAGUUUAUGUAAAGGAAAUGUUUAGGUCACAUAGGUCUCCUAGGCUUGUAACAUUCUGAGGCUUAGGACAGUUUGAAUUCAAAGGAAAAGAUAGCUCAAAAUAGUUCAAGUACUAGAAAUAAAAAGACACAUGACAUUGACUCCUUAUCUUCCCCAAUUUAAUCAUUAAGCUUGCUGAACGUGCCUUAGUGUGUUUGCGCCGAGGCUUAGGAAAAUGAAAUUGAAUAAAGAAUUAAGCGUGGUGUCUGCAAGUGUACAGGUCAAAUUUUAAUAUAGUUUAGUUUUACAAUGAAACACUUUGGAAGUAUUUCGAGGAUCAUACCAAAGGGAGGUUUAUUUAAACUAAAUUUCAAGUAAUAAAUAACACACCAACUAGUUAUAAAUACUACUCACGUAUAGAUUAUAUUACAACAGAAUAAUAAAAAGAUAGUUCACGAAAUAAAAUAAAAACUAAACACCAAAAUCUCAAUCAAUAAAAGAAAAUAGAAGGAUAACUCACUUCCAUGUUCAUGACUAACUUAGAUCUAGGGUUUUUCACUAGUUAGCUAAGAACUAACCUAAUUAAUACCUUUCGGUCUAUAACUAGAUUAAUUGAUCAAUUUAAUUUACUUUUUUUUCGACCUAAUAGAUUAAACUGGAUUAUAUUAAGUUGGUACCAAGCGAACUAUCCUUUUGGCCUCAUCUACCUAAGUGAAUUCCUAGAGUCGUCAAUUCUAGGGUUUAAUCUAAUUAACCUACUCUAGCUAAUUAGUUGUGAAACCCUUAACCCAAGCCAAUCAAUCCCACUUCAGAUUGCCAACCUUCUUAGAGUUUUAGCUCCUGGCCAUUCUAAAUGUAAACUUUCCUACCCGAUUAUUAAACAUCCAAAUAAAUGUAAAAAUAAAGAGAAGGGAAAAAGAAUGCUCAAUAUCCAAAGAUCUUGAAUUGUAGCUUGGAUCGUUGAACCUUCAAGUAAUGUUGAUCUUUGAUUUGGUGGAGAAGAAAAUAACGGAAAAGUAAUAAAAAGAAAAUAGAAACAAACUUGAUAUUGAAAUUGAAAAUAAAUGUUUUAACAACUAAAAAGAAAAAAAAAUUGAAAACAAACUAAAACCCUAAUUAAUUCUAAGAACUAAAAUUAAGAACAGGAAUCUAAAUUCUAAACUCUACUAAUUAAGUCUUAAGAGUUAAUAUUUAUAGUGUUUGUGUUAUAUGACCAAAUUAGGUUAAUUACAAGUUAUGUAACAAGUUAAUUAAAAUUUUACGGAUAAAAACACCCCUGGCAGUUAUAUGGGCCUUGUCAAACUGGUGUCAUGAGACCCUAUAGUCAAUGCUGCAACUUUGAUGGAAGACUAAUUGGUCUUUCUGGAGUGGAUGAAAUGUUGCGACAUUGGUUUCCUGGUGUCGUGACAUCAUUGGCAGUAUGCUCCUUUUUGGAAUUUGGAUAGAAUGUCGCUACUUUGGCUUAUUGAUGUCACGACAUCGUGUAAUAGCCUGAUUUAGGGCCUAGUCGGAACAGUGGUCUCGGGACCACAAAUUUGAAGAAAAAAAUUAUUAUUUUUAUUAUUUUUAUGAGGUUAUAGUACGAUUAUAUUAGUGCAUGAAAAAUUUGGUGAGUUAAUUUUAAUAUUUUCAAGCCCGAUUGAGAAAAAGGACUAAAUCGCAAAAAGGGAAAAAGUUAUAUUUUAGUACCCAAAUGUGUUAAAUAGCUAGAAAAUCAAAAUUCAGGGCUUUUAAAGGGCAAUUACACCCUUUUUAAUAGUGUUGGCCGGCCAUGUGAUGGAUUUUGAACAAAUAGUCAAAGUAUUAGGUAGAUGAUGUCAUGAUUUGGUGAUAAAUAAUGCCUAAAAGCCUAGCUAUUAUUUCCUUCUUCUCCAACUUCUUUGUUCACCGAAAUUAUCAGUAAAAAAUGGAGUUCUAUAAGCUGAAAAAUUUCAGCAACUUAUUCCUCUCAUAAUGUAAGUGAUCUUGAUGGUUUUCUUGGUGAUUUUUACAUUUUUAGUAUGCUUGUUUCAUGGGCUUUCAAAUGAGGGGUCUAUUUUGCAAAAUGAUUGAGAGCUUAUGGUGUUUCCAUGAAAGGAUUUGUGAUAUUUGCUGAGUUUUUAUGGAAGAAAAUGAGUCCUAGUUGUGUCAUGAACAACUUUGGUGAAGGAGUUUUCAUGGAAAACACCUAAAAGAGACUAUGUUGCAUAAGUUGUAAAUUGGUUGAUAAAUAUGUGAAAUAGUGAGAAUUUGAAGUUGCUAUAAGAGUAAAAAUAGUUCAGAUAGGCCCGAGAGACAAAGAAAUUCGAUAAAAAUUGACUUUCGAGCAUAUAGGUAAAAUGGUCAUUUUACCAAAGAUGUAAAUUUAUGAUUACCUAGUUGUACUUAGUGACUAAAUGGGUGUAUAUUGCUAUUAUAGAUCAAGAUUUACCAAGUCCGAACCUAGAUCGGGGCAAAACCAAGCAGUCCGAUUAAGUCGUCUAGUCAAGUACUUUUUGUAAACCGAGGUAAGUUGUAUGUAAAUAAUACAGCUAUAUUAUUAAUGCAUGUAUUCGAUUGUUAUUGAUUUGAUAUAGCAUAAAUUUCUAGAAUUGGAACUAAGCAUAUGUAUUUAUGAUUGAGAAAGUCGAAAGAUCCAGUAAAAACCCCAAGAAACAAACCGGAUAUUCAUGCCAUGACAUUGGGUUAUGUGAGAGCCAGUAUAAGACCAUGUCUGGGACAUGGCAUCGGCAUUGAGACGAGGACUAGUGUAAGACAUGCCUGGGACAUGCAUCAGCCGCAUCAUGAUAGCCCGUAUAAAACCACGUUUGGGACAUGGCAUCGACGUAGAGGUGAGUACUAGUGUAAGACAUGUCUGGGACAUGCAUCAGCCUCGAUGAUGUUAGCUAGUGUAAGACGUGUCUGGGACAUGCAUCAGCUAAGUUUCGUGCUAGUGUAAGACAUGUCUGGGACAUGCAUCAGCACGUAUAAAUGAGAGCUAGUGUAAGACCAUGUCUAGGACAUGGUAUCGGCCUCGAUGGAGAUAGCCAGCAUAAGACCAUGUCUAGGACAUGGCAGCUGCAACUUAACCCAUGUUUAAGGCUUAUAGAAUAUCCGGUAAUAUUCCAAAAGGUUCAACUUUAAGAGUUAAGAAAGAGAUUUAAAAAGGAAAGUAUGAUAAUGUUGUAAGUGUUACAGGUACCUAUUUGGUAUGCAUGAGUAAUGAGCUCGAUUAGAAAACAUUAUUUGAGUUGAUGGAAAUGAGUAAGUCUAGUUUAUACUUACCUUUGAGCUAUGAGCAUAAUUGAUAAAUGGUGAAGUUUUCGUUGUAUAUAUAUUUAUAUGCAACUUACUAAGCUUUAUGCUUACUUUCUUUCCUUUCCCUUUUCUUUCAGUACUGCCAUUUGCUCAAUGAUCCCUUGAAUUCAGAGAUAUCGAUCACACUACCAGCCGUAAUACUCGGUAUAGUUGGAUUUAUAUUUUUGAUUAUGGCAUGUAUAGGGCUAGACUAGGGAGUUGUAUUAUUGAGAAUUGUUUAUGUAUAUUGGCUUAAGAUAAAAGCCCUUCAUUUUGUAUUAAGCUUAGAUAAUGGCUAUUAUUCAUUUUGGCAAAUGUAUAUGAUGUUCCUACUAUGGAUGAAUUGAUGUCUUUUGGGAUGGAAUUAGCAUAUUGAAAUGAUCUUUUAUAGGUUGUGCAAAUUGGGUAACAAAAUGGCUUGGAAGAUAGCCUAGUUUGUUCACACGGGCAAGACACACGGGCGUGUGUUUAGACCAUGUGUGACACAUGGCUCACCCCCAUGGGUGUGUGUUAUGGCCGUGUGUCCCCCUGCACUUAAAUUUUUAGACCAGUAUUGUCCACGGUUAGGCCACACGGGCGUGUACCAUAGCCGUGUCUAUAAGUCAGUAUUGCUCAUGAGUAGGCCACACGGGCGUGUGUCAUGGCCAUGCCCUAAAGUCAAUGUCGCACACGGGCUGAGGACAUGGGCGUGUCCCGAGUCACACGGGCGUGUGGUACCCUAAAGCUUGAAUUUCACCAAGUUUUUUUCUUAAAUUCUCAGUUAAGUCUAAAUCAUCUCGAAUGUAUGUUUUGGGCCUCGUGAGCCCAUUUAAGGAACGAAUUGCUUAUGAAAGUAAAAUUUUUAACCAAAUCAUCAAAAUUUUACGGUCCGAUUUUGUAUAAUUGAUUGAGUUAAGUUAGGUAACACCUCGAGCCAUGUCCCGACGUCGGAUAUGGGCGAAGGGUGUUACACAUCGCCUCUCGUAGCUCACCUCUUGGACUUGUGUUUGAAAUUCAGCUAAAUAUUGAUGCUUGCUUUAAUGUUGUGACAUUCUCUUAGAAUGUUGCGACAUCUGGGGCAGUCCACUAACUCCUUCGCCAAAAAUAUUAUUGUGCACACUUAAUCAACUUUUUAUUUCUUCCUUAGGCCCUGAUCGACCUAACAGGUCAUAAAACAACACUAAAAGCUCAAUUUAUUACACUUAAUUUCAAAAUUAACUAAUUCUAAAAACAAAAUUACAAGAUAUAAAAUCACUUGAAUACAAGCUCAUUAACUGGUGAAAAGAGCCUAAUUUUCCACAAUGAAUUGCGGUAGAUCACUUACCUCCUUAUUUAUUAUUCUCUCACGUCCCUUUUCUCUCCAAAAAAGUGGAAGACAUGGUUCAAUAUUAGUGAGUACAAAAAAGCUAGAAGAUUUUUGUGCAUUAAGAAAGCAAAAGAGUUAUUUUUAAGCUUUAAAAUGUUUCAUCAUUUGAUUGCUUCCUAAAAUGUUUCACUCUUGUCACUCAAAAUGCUUUUAACACUUUCUACCCUUUAUCCACUCAUUAUGCUUUUAACCCUCAGUUUGCCUUUGUUCACUCAAAGGAUUUUUCUUUAAAGCAUAUUUAGCAUGAGUUUAUACUUCACUAUAUUAAACUAUUUCUUCUCUUUUCUCUCAAGUACAUGUUUUGAAACCACCAAGAUGUUUCUACUUAGCCCCCUAUAUCCAUGGCCUAAUGUCCAUUUUAUAGUGUAAUUCAAAUAAUAGGAAAAAGAAGGGUUUGAGUCCACUAACUUGUUAGUGGAUUCUAAUUGCUACAUACGGUGGUAGUGGAUAAUUAGAAUCUACUAACUUGUGUUAAUUAAGAUUAAAAGUUAAUUACUUAAGGUUUAUUAAGUUAAGCAAAUGAUUAACGAAUUAAUCAAAGUAUAUAUAUUAAUUUAAGUGAAAAUGUGUUCAUCUUUUUGUUUCUUUUUCUUAUUCAACCGUCUUUAGCUAAGAAAAAUAAAAGGAGAAUGGUUUUUAAUUCAAACUUUUGGUUGAUAAAUGGUAUGUGAUUUUAAGUUUAUUUCUUAUAAUUUUUAUAUUUUUAUAGUCACGGGAGCUUAAUUUAGCUGGCCCAUGUACCAAUUUGCAAAAAUUUUAAAGUUUUCAAAAGUUUUCAUUUUAUAAUUCUUGAAGUUUUUGAUACUAAAUUGUUAGAUUUUAAGCUUAGAAGUGAAAAAGGACUAGUUUGUAAAGUCUAAUUGCUAAUUUUUAAACAUAGGGACUAAAAAGCAUGAAUUUUGAAAUUGGUUUAAUUGAGAUCGGUUUCAAAAUCGAAGCUCAAAUUUGAAAGUUAUGGUAAUUUCGAUUUUAAAGACUAAAUUAAAUAAAAUCCAAAACUUUAGAGAAAAUUUGAAAAGUGAAAUUGAACUGACGUAUGCUUAUAAUAGGAAGAAAUAAAUUAUUUGGGAUUGAUGAAAUGAAAAGAAUUAUCAUAUAGAUCAGAAUUGAACCAAUCGAAGGAUAAUCGAGUAAAAGACAAAUUUAUAGAUUAGUCAUUGAUGUCUUGUUUGUUUCUUUUUUUUUCAAGGUAAGUUCAUAUGAGACUUAAUUUAUUAAUUCAUUAUAUGUUUGUAUUGUAUUGUUUUUUAGUUUAAAUUGAUAUGAAUACAAUGUCUUUUGGCAUCAAGUGGACUAAAUCGUAAAAUAUGAAAUACAUGACAAAUUCAAAUAAGUACUUUGUAUUUAAUGGAUGUGAAUUGUUAUAUGAUUGGAUGAAAUGCAUAUGAUGAUGUUACAAGGUUUGGAAUGAUACAGAAACAGUAACGGUGCCCGUGUGAACUCAGUAAACGAUUAGGAUACGAAUGAAAUGCCAUUAAGGUCCCAAAAAGAAAAACAUGUGUUUGAUCAAUGAUUAAUACGAUGGCUUGAGAUCCAACAUGUGUUGCGAAUUCUCUGAAGGUUGCGAAUUCUUUGAAACUUGUGUGAGUAGCAUUGAACUAAGCUUGUGUGAGCAACCCUGGUUUGAAGCUUGUGUGAGCAAAUCAAUCUCGUGUACCCGAUAAUUUACUAUAGUUCUCCAAGUGGAUACAGAAAUGAAAACGAUAAUUAAAAGGGAAAUGGAAUGAUUGAUUGUGGAUUGAAAUAUUAUGUUUGCAAAUUGAGCAUAGUGAGAUGGUAUAUGAUAUAAUAUAAAAUGGUUAUAUAUAUGCAUAUGAUUUUAAUAUUAUGGUUGGAUAUGCAAAUGAACUAACAUAGUGUUUGUAUGAUUGGAUUGUGCAUGAAAGUAUAAGGUUGCCAAAAGAUGACUUGUUUGCACCAAUGUGUUUCAAGUGCUAAAUUGUUGUAAUGUAAAGGUAAGUUAAUUAAAUUUCAUUUGAACUUACUAAGCAUUUAAUAUGCUUAUAUCGUUGUUUCUUUUCCUUGUAUUUGUCAACUUGCUGAACGUGUCGAUCGAAUCAUCUCGAAGCUCACACUAUCCUGCUGUCGACUCAAUAGAUUUUAUCAUUUUUCGACUCGGUUAUAUAACAUGUACAUAGGUGUUGUUAUGUUAACCUAAAAUGAUAGCUUUAGUUGAACCAGUGUCGAUCUUUGCUAUAGCUAAUGCCUAUAUGUAUAUGUGUUUGUUUCGAUAACAUAUUGUGGCACUUUGAAUGGAAAAUUUGAACAUGAAUUGGAAUGGUAAUGUUCGUUUAAAUGGAAAAAAGGCAAGAUGAUAUAUGUUAAGUCUUGAAUAAAGUUUUGGUUCCAAAUUGUGGCAUAUUAGGUUGUAUGAUGAGAAUUGGUUGAAAUAAAGUGUUUAGGUAUGAUAUUGGUUUGGUUUUAUGUAAGCUUAUGUGUGCUUAUAAGCACCAAUUAUACAUAUUGUUAAGUUGGCAUGAAAAAGGUACCAAAAGGUGAAAUUUUGACAUUUUUUUCUCUAUGGUAUCAAUACCUUUUACUUUAGUUAUUUUUCUUAAAAUUUUCAAAACAUCAUCAAUACCUUGAAGAAAGUAUCAAUUCUUUAUGAAUGGUAUUGAUACAUUUGGUUUUAAUUCAAUUUUCAGAAACAUUGAAGCUUGAAUUGUUAUCGGUAUUAGGUGGGGGUAUCGAUACCUGAUCUGAAAUUUUGAAAACUUUGCAAUUUGGUCCUAUUUCAUGCUUAGGUUAACAAAAGAGCUUUCGUAAGCUCAAUUAAGGCUCGUAUUUAAUUGAAUAUCAUAAUGUAAGUGUGUUAUUGACAUGAUGGAACAUUUGAAUGAUUUAUUUAUGUAUAACUGAUGGUUGUUACUCCGGCAGUAAAUGUGGCAUCCUGUAGCUUGGAUUUGACGAUCGGAUCGGGUAAAGGGCUGUUACACAUAGCAUAAAGGUAAGUCAUUUAGGCUAUUGGCUAAACAAACAAUGCCUUAGGUCAUCCCUAAACAUUCACAAAAUAUAAUUUCAAUCAUGCUCAACAAUUUCACAAAUGAAUGAUAAUUGAUUCAAGCAUUAUCUAUCUAUAAUAAUCUAUAUGAUCUAUCUAUCAUUGGGCUCAAAUUCAUAAAUACUUGAUGAUCGCUAAACUAACUAAAAAUUCGACUAAGGCAAGCGCACCUAUCAAACAGCAGUAUAGUUAUGGUGAGACCGAAAAUAUCAUAUCCACAAGGACUAAAAGUACUAGUAAUUACUAUGUUUUUAUUAUUUAACCUAAGAAUUAAAGGGAUGUUUUUAAACUAAGAUAAACUAUCUAAUUAAAUAAGAACACGACAAAGAUUAAAGUUGGAAAAUACUUUUGGAAAACCGAUGAAGAAGACAAUGCCCAAGGAAGAAUUCACCUAGACUUCACUUAUUACUUUUGAAUUAGACGAUUUAUUCACUUGACUUAAUCCAUAAAAAUCCCUGAUUUAUGUUAAUAUCUCUCUCGAGACUAAAAACAACUGACUCUAGGUUGACUAAUUGAAAUCUCUUUCUAAUUAAAACCCUUAUUAUCGCAUUAAUUCGAUCUAUGGAUUUCCUUAUUAGAUUUGACUCUAAUCCGGCAGAUUUAUAUAGUCCUAUCUCUAGGAUUGCAUGCAACUCCGCUUAAUUAUGGAAGAUCUACUCUUAAACAGGGACUUUUGCUCCACUGAAUAAGCACAUCAGACUUGAAUUAAUAUCUUGAAAUAUUAAAGCAAGAAUUAGGAACACAUAAUUAAGAAUAAGAAUAAGUAUUUAUCAUAUAAUUCAAAUAGUAAUAAGAUCUGUCUCAAGUUUCAUCUCCCUCAGGUAUUGAAGGAUUUUAGUUCAUAAUGAUAGGGGAGCACAUCUCAAAAUUGGAAAAACAACAAAACAUAAAGAAACCCAAAGAACUUCUACGGAAAUUGAGUGGAGAUCUUCAGUCUUGAAGUAGAUCCUGCUUCUGAGCUAAUCCUGAUGGCUGUCUUCGAGUAUUUUCUGCUUUCUACUCUCUGUUCCUUCAUUUGAUCCUCUUCUAGGGUGUUUAUAUAGACUUUGGAAUGCUUCCAAACCUUAAAAAUUAGCAUUUUCCGAGUAGAAUUAGACUUGGGCUCGACAGGGACAAGGCUGUGUGCCACGCCCGUGUGAAGGUGCUCAAGUCGUGUGUAAUUCUGAGUUGGCUUUUAGUCGAUACGGUCAUUAUACACGGGCGUGUGGCCUACCCAUGUGUCACACACGGGCGUGUGGAUUACCCGUGUGGAACUGCUUAGGCCGUGUGAAACACUAAAUUACGCCCAUUUUGUCCGUUUUUGGCUCGUUUCUUGCUCUUUUUGCCAUCCUAAGCUCUCCUGAGUAUAAAACAUGAAAUUAAAAUAUUAAGAGUAUCAAAUUAAUUAAAUCUUAUGAUAAACCUUCCAAAAAUAUGCCAAGCAUAGGGUAGAAAUAUGUAUAUAUUAUGGUUUAUUAAAUUUUCCCACACUUAAGCAUUUGCUUGUCCUCAAGCAAAAUUCUCAACUCACAAUUAAAAUUAAUUCUUCUUAACUUAUAAUUCUCAUCAAUAAUGUUUCGAAGUAAUCCACAGAUAAUCAUACAUUGAGAAUUCAACUAAAAGAACAUUAAUGUUUCAAACAAUCCAAGUUGAGCAUUUUAAUCAUAAAAUCAUAGUUAUCCCCCUUUAUCUAAGUAAUUACCUUUAAUUCCAAAUCGGCAAGGGUUGACAUCCUCACUAAAGAUUCACUUAAAUCACUCAAAGUGUUUAAGGUCCAAUAAUUAAGCACUCAAUAGUUAAACAUGAAAAAUUAUUACCAUAGGCUUGCAUGAAAAUCAAAUCUCCACCACUAUAAAUGAGAUGAUACACAAAUCAAAAGGUCUUUAACAGGGUUGUAAUGGGGUUUGCGUCAGAGGUGUGGAUAAAGGCUAAAAAAUAGGGUUAGAAUCAAAAUUAAUUUAAUAAAUUCCAAACUUAGAAAAAUAAAGCUAAUUACUGAAUUACAAACAAGUGCUCGAACUAAUGAAGUGAGCUUUUUCUCAAUAACAUAAGUUUAACUUAUCCGAGCUUUUUCUAACAGUAUGUAAUUAUACGGUUUUUUUUAAGAAUAAGAACAAGUAUAAUAAUAGAAAGUACAUAAUAAGAAAUAAUUCAGCACUGAAAUGAGCGAACAUAGUUAGGUAACUAAUCAAAUCAAAUCUCGAUAAAAAGAGAGUCAAUAAAAAGGGAGAAAUUCUUAACGAAUCAAAAAUGAUUAAGUUAUGGGUUAACAUUAAGGGGAAAAUCAAGAAACAAUGGUUAAGGCUCAAAGGGGUUCACUAAGGGUCAAUUAUGUGGGUAGGCUUUUUAUGGAGUAAAUGAGUUAAAACCUAAGUGCUUUUAUCAUUUCAGUAUAUCAAAUCAACGGUGUGGUCUUGACAUGUAUAAUCGAAGCAAGUUCUAGAAUAACAAAUCAAUGUUGACACACUUAUAACCAAUAAAAUAAGUAAGCAAGAAAUAUAUAUGCUCUAAAAGGCUCAAAAUCUUACAAAAAUUAUGGGUAUUUGAUAUCAAUCCUAUAAAUUCAAAACUUGAAGAUAAUACCUCAAUUCAGGGAAACAACCUAGCAAUUUUAAUUCUCAAAAGUCAACUUAUCAUGCUUGCUUCUCUAAUGUCUUAAAGUUUAAACAAUCAAUGCACAAUUGCAUAUGAUUUAAUUCAAAACAUAUCAAUAAAAAUUAUAAAUCAAUCAAAAUUCACUCUAAUAAUAAUAUGAGAAAAUUAUUUGAGAACGAGAUAAAAAUCCAGGGAUUUUCUGAUAAUCAUAUAAAUAACCUCCCCACAGUCAAGGUGUACAUUGUCCUCAAUGUACAAAGAUAGAUAAUAACAAUAUAAGUAUAAUAUUAGAAGAGAGGGAGAGAAACGAAACUGCCCUAAAAUUUUGGAUGAAAUCCUUGGAAUAGCGAAGGCUAGAAUUGUAGAUAAGGCCAAUGAAUGGUAUGAUUCAGAAUUAUUAAUAAGAAAAUAAACACAACUGUGGAAGAGAAUUAAGGUAUUACUCGAUAAUAACCAUAAAGAUAAACAUAGUUCAAAAUAUAAAACAUAAGUCUUCAAAAAUAAAUAAAAUAGAAUUAAAAAUAAAAUUAAAAAUAAAAGUAGUAAUAAUAAAAUAAAUGGAUUCAAAGGUCCUCAUGAUCGGAUGCCUCGUGGGUCGACGGUGCUGAAGGAGAGAUGUGAAGGUGGUGGCAAAUCUGCCGAAGAGUGGCAUCGAUGCUAUUGAACCGUUUAAAACAUUGCUGCUCAAAGCAAGUGAGUCGCUCAGAUAUAUCUGUCAAAGUGGCAGCAGUGGGGCGGUGACUCUGUGAUGAUGGUGGAGGUGGGUCCUCAUGAAGGGGAGGAACAUCAUCAGUAAUGUCCUCUGGAUCAUUCUAAUAAUCAGAAUGGACAAGUCUUACUGAGGGGGUGGAAUCUACGAUGUCGUUCUAUCAUCUUCAUGUGAAUCAUACUAGAAAUUCCUUGAGGAGACAUCUGGCCUACUAGUGUGAGUGUCGAUGACAUCUCUGGAGUGUCGAAAAGGUUGAAGUGCCGAGCGAGACGAGUCACAUAAGGGUCGAGAAAGAUGGGGCCCUUCUUAUGGCAUUUAGUUUGGUUGGGGCAAGCAAGUGCGAUGAAAUAUACUAAAUAAAAUACAUGUCCAAUAGUCAUGCACCAUAGGAAAUAGGAGCCAUAAGUACUAACCACUCCUGUGCUCUCUCUCCGACCUGUCAAAGUGUGAGCUAGUAAGGCGUGAAUAUAUCGUAGGGCCGGAGAGAGGUGCGUCGCCUUCAAACGACUCGCGUCAUUGUUAGUUAGCCACCCGUGAGCUCAGUCCAACAUCGCGAAGGUGAAUAAUGAAUAUGUCUAUGAAGCUUAAGAAAGUUUGCGGCGCUCAUGAACUCCUCUGUGUAAAGUCCCAAAGUAGCACCGAACUCUGGGAUGCUCAUGUAUCGCACCAUCCUGCCAAGGCGAAAGGUGAUAGCGCCAGGCUCGUCAUGGACUGACAUGACCUGCUGGACUAAAAAUGUGGCACCAAAAUCUAAGGUGAGUUCCGAGUAGGUGGGCUCGAUGAUGGUGAAGAACCUAUCCCACGGGGUUGUGGUAAUAAUCGCGAGCACAUUAUCAGCCAAACGAACCUGCUCUAGUGUGGCCUAAUCAAUGCAGCGACCCACACCGAGGGGUCGUAUGCUGAGAAGCUGAUAUAAAUCCUCUUGGUUGCUCGAUGAAAAUUGGAGCAAAGGGUGGCGAGUUGCAGCCGAAGCGCUCGAAGAGGUUGUGCUUGGGCUUUUCUGUUUUUUCGAAGCGGGGACAACAACUUUGGUCUUUCCGUGUGUGUUCAUCAUAAUAAAUCUGUAAUAAAAUGAUAAUUAACGAAUCAACAUAGUAAUAAAUUUGCAACAGCUAGGUUUAGCUGAAAAAUUUUGGCCUAGUGAAAAAUAGAAUGCUGCACUACAGUAUAAAACUAAAUAAUGAAUCAAAUGACUAAUAAAUUAUCAAGAAUAAUAUGAAUAAAAGCAAGAAGAAGCUGAUCAGGAAGUAAUGCAAUAUUCCGUCCAAAAAAAUACUCAGUAAACUAAGACUAGGAAAGAAAUCUAAAAAUAAUUCUUAAUAGGAACACUAGGAAUACUAUCACGGAAUAAAUUUAACUCUAUAAAGAUAGAAUUAUGCAAAACAAAUAUAUCUAAUGAAUUGAACAAUAAAAAGAAUAAUAGUAAAUGCAUAUAAAACAAAAACAAAAUAGUAAUAGUAAUAUCCAAAAAUGAUUAAGACAAAUAAAAUUUAUAAGAAGAAUAAUGAUGUUAGCAUUAAUAAAAAGAGAGGGCAAAGGGGGAAACCAAAAGUGGCGGCCGAAGGUACAGCUAAAAGGGUGGGGCGCGCGGUGGUGCGUGAGGGUGAGGGGGUGGGGUUUGGGGCCGAAUGAGGGAAAGGAGGAAGGGAUUAGGUUGAAAGAGGGGCUGCGUUGUAGGGGAAGAAGGGAAAGAUGAGGAAAAGAAAGAAGAAAAUGGGGGAGAGGAAGAAGAGGAAAAGAACGGGAAGGAAAGGGAAAGAAGGGGUAGGGGAAGGAAGAAAAGAAAAGAAAAAGAAAGUGUAAGGAAAAAGGAAAAAGGGGAGAGGGAGCUAAGGGGUGGCCGGACGGUGGGGGUGAGGUGUUGAGGAGGCUAGGGUUGGGGAAGAAGACAAAAGAAAGGGUUAGGGUUUGGGGAGGUUUUAAAAUAGACACGGUCAUGUAACGGUCCUUGUUGGGCCACACGGCCGUGUGGCUAGAGUUUAGCCCAUGUUCGUCGCGAAUAUUUAAUUCCUAUUCGCCACACAGCCUUAGACACACUCGUGUAUCCAAGUCGUGUGAUAUGUUUUUCGCUUCUCCCACGGCCGUGUGCUUAACCCGUGGAGCCCUUUGACUUUUUUUAAAAUUUGAAAAAUUAAGCUCCAGGUUUUACACGGCCUAGGACACGUCCGUGUGUCUAGGCUGUGUGCGUUUCACGGCCGUGUGGAUUUAUCGUAGGCUGUGUGCAUGUCGAUUUUUGGGAAAUUUUAGCCCUACUUCCACACAGCCAAAGACACACCCAUGUGUCCAAGCCGUGUGCUUCCCACGGCCGUGUGGAUUUAUCGCAGGCUGUAUGCAUGUCGAUUUUUGGGAAAUUUCAGCCCUGUUUCCACACGGCGAAGGACACUCCCAUGUGUCCAAGCCAUAUGGGUCACUGUACCUACAUAAAAACAUGAAAAAUAGAUAAAAUAAACGGGUUAGUGGUGUUAGUGCUCGGGUUGCCUCCCGAGAAGCACUUAUUUAAAGUCUAACCUCGACUUACCUCGCAUUCACAUUGUCACAAUGGAUCACAGAGUUGAAACUUCUCUUUCUCGUUGUCAAAUCCUUUAAUUAAAUAAUAUUUAAGUCAAGUACUGUUUACCUUAAAAGUGCCAAAAUGCGAAUGGCUUACCUCGACUGUACCGUGUGAAAAGACUUUGAAUACCGUAAAAGAAGUCGCUUCGUUUGCGUUGAGCUCUGUAGUGGUAAUUCGAGGGUCUUUUUUAUCUAGCCAGACUUGGUCCCCAACCUUAAAUUGAUUGGUUCUCUCAUUGAACUCAUCAUGGUGUUGCUUUUGCUCCUCCUUGCCAUGAGUCUGCCAUUUAUCUAGUUCAUCUAUCUGUAGCAUUCAUCGUUCAUGGAUGGUUUCAUUGUUAGCGAAUGAACUAAAACGUGGCUUAUUUAUGUUACUCAAAAAAUUUUCCUACAAGGAGGUUGAAUCACAUGAUUACUCUUAUUAGCUAGAUUUAUAAGGCUAUCUUCAUUAUUUGGUAUCUCAAUUGAAUUACGAGCCUGAAGAAUAACCAUUUCAUCACCUGCACGAAGUGUCAAUUCACUUGUACCAACAUUAAUAAUAGUCCUAGCAGUCGCUAAAAAAGGUCGUCCUAAAAUUAAAGGAAUGUCACCAUCCUCUUCCAUGUCUAAAACAACAAAGUCUACUGGGAAUAUGAAUUUAUCAGUAUUAGCGAGUGCGUCCUCAACAAUACCUCUAAGAAAUCUAAUAGUUUUAUCUGCCAGUUGUACACUCAUCCUAGCUUGUUUAGGUUUCCCAAUACCUAGUUGUCUAAACAUUUUAUAGGGUAUGACAUUUAUACUUGCCCCUAAAUCGGCUAAAGCAUUAUCAACAUUUAAACUACCGAUUAAACGAGGAAUAGUAAAACUCCCUGGAUCCUUUAACUUGUUGGGUAGUUUAUUUUGUAGAAUUGCUGAGCAAACUGCACUUAAUUCCACUUGCACCAAAUCAUCUAACUUCCGUUUGUUUGCUAGAAGCUCCUUUAAAAAUUUAAGUGAGUUGGGCAUCUGCAAAAGAGCUUCAAUAAACAGUAAGUUAAUAUGUAACUUGUUUAAAAUGUUAAAAAAUUUACUGAAUUGUUCGUCUGUGCUGUCUUUCUUUGUCGCUUUAGGGUAGGGUACGCGACGUGUGUAUUCUCUAUUUACCGAUUUUUGUUUGUUCUGGCUUUUGUCCACCUUUUUUUAGCUUACCAUAGUUUAUUGCCUUGGUUAUGGUGUGUACUCAACUAACCCUUCUUCAUAUUGAAUAGUAAUCGCAUGAAGCUACUCUAUUGGGUUAGCCUCGGUGUUGCUGGGUAAGCUACCUUGUGGUCUUUCUGAGAUCAUCUUAGCAAGCUGACCUAUUUGAGUCUCGAGACCUUGAAUUGACGCUUGCUAAUUUUUAAGCACUGUUUUAGUGUUUUGGAAACGUGUUUCUGACACUGAGAUAAAUUUCGUUAGCAUCUCUUCAAGGUUCAGCUUUUUCUCUUGCUGGUAAGUUGGCUGAAAGCCUAGAGGGGGUGGUGGUCUCUGAUUCCCUUGGCCUCCCCAUGAGAAGUUUGGAUGAUUCCCCCAACCUGCAUUGUAAGUGUUACUAUAAGGAUUAUUUUGAGGUUGAGGAUUAUUACCCAUAUAAUUUAUUUGCUUCUCCUUGGUGCCAGGGUUGAAGGAUGGAUAAUUUGUGUUGUGCACUCAUCCUCCAAUUGAAUCACAACUCAUCACUGGAUGUACCUGAGUAGAACCAUACAAACCAUCAAUCUUUUUAUUUAAGAGUUCUACCUGAUUUGAUAACAUGGUAACUACAUCUAGGUUGAAAACACCAGCUGAUUUCGUUGGUUUUGUUCGUAUGACUUGCCACUGAUAGUUAUUUAGUGACAUCUCUUCAAUAAAUUCAUAAGCCUCUUCGGGUGUCUUAUUAUUGAUGGUUCCGCAGGCAGCUGCGUCGAUCAUUUGUCUAGUUGAGGGAUUCAAACCGUUGUGGAAAGUUUAAACCUGUAGCCAAAGAGGUAACCCAUGGUGAGGGCACCUUCUCAAUAAGUCUUUGUAUCUCUUCCAUGCAUUAUAAAGUGUUUCUAAAUCCAUCUACACAAAAGAAGAGAUAUCAUUCCUUAACUUUUCCGUUUUAGCUGGAGGAAAAUAUUUAAGCAAAAAUUUUUCUGUCAUUUAUUCCCAAGUAGGGAUCAAACCUCGUGGUAACGAGUUCAACCACUAUUUAGCCUUAUUUCAUAAUGAAAGGGGAAAUAACCGAAGGAGAAUGGCAUCGUAAGAAACGCCAUUGAUCUUAAAGGUGUCGUAGAAUUCCAAAAAAUUCGCCAAAUGAGUGUUUGGAUCCUCGUCCUGCAAAUCAUCAAACUGAACAAACUGUUGUAUCAUUUGAAUCGUGUUAGGUUUUAGUUCAAAAUUAUUUGCAGCAACAGCAGGUCUAACUAUACUCGAUUCAGUUCCUGUUAAAUUAGGCUUAGCAUAGUCGUACAUAGUACGAGAAGCAGGAUCCUGAUUCACUGGAUUUGCGGCAACCACAGGAGGCAGCGGAUUAUUUUGAUUUUCAGCCAUCUCCUCGGUAUUAGUGGUGUCGUCCUCGUGCUCUUCCUCUAUAUACCGUAAACUUCACCUUAUUUCUCUACGAUUUCUACGAGUUGUGUUUUCAAUUUCGCUGUCAAAAAGUAGAGGUCUUGACGGGUUUCUUCUAGUUAUAAACUAUAAAAACCUACCAGAAGUAAAUAAAAGAAAAGUUAGUAAUUAAAAUAAAAACAAAAUUAAAUUGCAAUAAAAAGAAAAAUGGCUAAAGUAAUAAAAAUUAAGUGUUCCUAAUAUCUUAGUCCUUGGCAAUGGUGCCAAAAAGUUGAUGGUCGCUAAACUAACUAAAAAUUCGACUAAGGCAAGUACACCUAUCGAACAACAGUAUAGUUAUGGUGAGACCAAAAAUAUCGUAUCCACAAAAACUAAAAGUACUAGUAAUUACUAUCUUUUUAUUAUCUAGCCUAAGAAUUAAAGGGAUGUUUUUAAACUAAGAUAAACUAUCUAAUUAAUUAAGAGCACGACAAAGAUUAAAGUUGAAAAAUACUUUUGGAAAACCGAUGAAGAAGACAAUACCCAAGGAAGAAUUCACCUAGACUUCACUUAUUACUUUUAAAUUAGGCGCUUUAUUCACUUGACUUUAUCCGUAGAAAUCCCCGAUUUAUGUUAAUCUCUCUCUCAAGACUAAAAACAACUGACUCUAGGUUGAUUAAUUGAAAUCUCUUUCUAAUUAAAACCCCUAUUGUUGCAUUAAUUCGAUCUAUGGAUUCCCUUAUUAGAUUUGAUUCUAAUCCGACAGAUUUAUAUAGUCCUAUCUCUAGGAUUGCAUGCAACUCCGCUUAAUUAUGGAAGAUCUACUCUUAAACAGGGACUUUUGCUCCACUGAAUAAGCACAUCAGACUUGAAUUAAUAUCCUGAAAUAUUAAAGCAAGAAUUAGGAAUACAUAAUUAAGAAUAAGAACAAGUAUUUAUCAUAUAAUUCAAAUAGUAAUAAGAUCUGUCUCAGGUUUCAUCUCCCUCAGGUAUUUAAGGAGUUUAGUUCAUAAUGAUAGGGGAACUCAUCUCAAAAUUGGGAAAACAACAAAAUAUAAAGAAACCCAAAGAACUUUUAAGGAAAUUGAAUGGAGAUCUUCAGUCUUGAAGUAGAUCCUGCUUCUGAGCUGAUUCCAAUGGCUGUCUUCGAGUAUUUUCUACUUUCUACUCUUUGUCCCUUAUUUGAUCAUCUUCUAGGAUAUUUAUAUAGACUUUGGAAUGCUUUCAAACCCUAAAAAUUAGCCUUUUCCGAGUAGAAUUAGACUUGGGCUCGACAGGGACUCGGCCAUGUGCCAUGCCCGUGUGAAGGUGCUCAAGCCGUGUGUAAUUCUGAGUUGGUGUUUAGUCGACACGGUCAUUACACAUGGGCGAGUGGCCUACCCGUGUGUCACACACGGGCUUGUAGAUUACCCUUGUGGAACUGCCUAGGCAGCGUGAAACACUGAAUUAGGCCUAUUUUGUCCGUUUUUGGCCCGUUUCUUGCUUUUUUUGCUAUUCUAAGCUCUCCUGAGUAUAAAACAUGAAAUUAAAGGAUUACGAGCAUCAAAUUAAUUAAAUCUUAUGAUAAACCUUCCAAAAAUAUGCCAAGCAUAGGGUAAAAAUAUGUAUAUAUUAUGGUUUAUCAAUACUCAUAUAGAUACCAAUCACUUCUAAUCUGUAAUGCAAUUUAACAUUUUGACUAACUAAUCUACUUUUAAAUAACUAAAUUAACUAACAUCAAUCACAAUUUACAUGUUUGAACAUCAAAAUACAAGAUUUAAUAUCAAUAACCAAUAAUCCAAUUGUCAACAUAAUUCAAGCACCAUAUAAUUCAAACAAAAAACCUAAAGAAAAUUUUAAUUUUUUUGUGAAUUUUUUAAAUUUAAAGCAAAAAAAUGUAACUUCUAUGUAUACCCCUACAUAUUUAAGUUACACAUUGCCCUUAAUGUGUUCCCAACUAAAGAUAAGUUUGAGAAAACUCCCGCAAUACAUGAUAUGCAUGAAAAAAUGGUGGAGUAGUGCUCAAACCUCUUUGAGGCUUCAAAAAUGUAAUGUAACAUUUGGUGGGUAGUCCUACAUAGAAAAACAAACAAAACACACCAAAAAAAAAGUAUAUACUAAAAACAAAAUAAGAAUUAGAAAAAGAAAACAUAUCAAAUUUUGGAUGAUUCGUAUUGCCUCCAUAGAAGAACUUUAAAGAGAUCCUCAAAACUUUGAUUCGACAUUUGUUCUUGCAUAAAAAGCUAAGGACCUCCCUCAACGAUUGUACACAUUUUAUCCUUCUUAUCUUUAAUCGUCGAGACAUCACAUUACGAGCCAUUUAUCUCCAAAGCCUAACCAACUCUAUAGCUCAUUUUAAGAUACUAUAGCCUUGGGAAUAACCAAAUUCGUAACCUCUCGAGUGUCACUUCCCUAAUUGGGUUAAAGAAAUAUAUAAUCAUGAAGUACUUUGGUUAGCUUUUCUACAACGAUAAUUGGCAAGUGUGUUGGCUCCUUCACACUUGCACUUAGUUCCAAGUUUAGCUCUUCCUCUACAUCUAUUUCUACUCUUACUCUUACUUUUAUGUCAAUCGAAGUGAAGACGUCUUCUUCAUUUCUCACAACCUUGUUACGGUCUCCAACUUCCAACUCUUGUUGAACACCCAUGUUCAACUCUUUAUGUUCAAUAACAAUAUAAUGGCCCUCAUCCUCAAGUUCAGGAAUAUCAUGUUCGACCUCCUCAAUCAGAGCACUCAUUUUGGCUUGGUGUUGGACAACUUCCAAUAAUUGCUCGAAUGUAUUGGACAUGGAAGACAUGGUAGCUUGGCAUGAAAACAUGCCAUCCUCCAAUAUACCAUCCCGUGUAGCAAGGAAUGGGUCUUUGGUAUACUCAUCACUCUCUAUAUUACCAUCUAGAUAAUAAUAUAGAGGAUACAAAUAAUAUGUUAGAUAGCUAAUCGACCAUCCAUGAUUGUAGCUACCCAUCUCAUUUGCAUAGCCAUACGAACCAUAAGAAUACUUGUAUGAAUACCUUUACCCUCCAUAAUCGCCAUCAUAACUCCAACUUCUCCUCGAAUCUUUGUUCACUGAACUAGACCUCUGUUCAUAUUCGAAUCGGUCACUCAAUCACCUAUAACCAUUAUUAGACAUGAUUAAACCUAAAUAUCAACAAGGUAAACAAGAAAAAGAAUAAAAAAAGCGAAACAAAAAACUAGGCUCUAUCUAAUCCCCUCAGCUUUCAACCAAUAUUUCUCCCACAAGCAACUAACUUGAUUAGAGCAUUCACAUCGUUACAAUCCCUGGAAAUGGUGCCAACAACUUGACCACUAGCAUACAUGCGCUAAAAUAUGCAUAUAUAUAAUAAAGUGCGAUUGUACUACAAAUGUACAAGUCAAAUUGUAAUAAAGUUGUGUUACAAUGAAACACCGGAAGUAUUCCAAUGACCAAACCCAAAAGAGAUUGUGCAAUUUAAAAUAAUGAACAAGACUAGCAUGUAUGAGGAAGUCUAUUAAGCUACUUAAGCAAUUUAUUAGUACAACAAUCCAAAACAAGUGAAUUUGUAAAAAUGAAAAAAUAAAUAAACAUAAAAACUUUCAAUCAAUAGAAAAUAAUAUUAGCAAUAAUAGUGAUCAGCUAAUUUUCAUGUAAGCAAUGAAAUUAUACUUAAGGGACUCAAUUAAUAAUUUUCUCAUUUAACUAAUUUUACCUCUCGGUCUCAAUUUAAUGAAAUGAAGAACUUAAUCAAAUUCUUCUCUUGAUCUCACUCAAUUAAGCCAAACUAAAUCAAUUUUUACUUGGUUGAUUAUCCUUUUGGUCUCACCUAUCUAAAUUUUCACUUAGAAUUGUCAAUUCCAAGUUUUAUAGAUUAUUCGAUUUAGUUCAAAUUGUUUAAUUGAGUAAGUAGGCAUAAAAUCACAUGCUUACAAACACAUAAACCAAUCACCCAAGAAAUUUAGACAUAUUCAUGGAAAAAUUAAACAUAAAAAGCAACUACAUACAAUUAAAUUAAAAGGAUGGAAUUGAAUAAGUUUAGAAAUACUUAAUAACAUGUAUAAUUUCUUGAUUUUGAUCUUCAAUAAUCUUCAACCCAAUCCAAAUGUUGAAACCCCAAUAAUCGAUUCUUCAAUUGAAAUAAAAAUUGUAAAGAAAAAUAAAGAAUUUGAGUAAAAGAAAUACUAUCCUAGAAAUUCACUAACAAGUUCAUGUGCUAUUCUAUUUUAAUAACUAUUAGCUUUUUAAUUCUAAAACUAAUUUAACACUAAAAACCUAUUUUCACCCCUACCCAAUGGCUGAGUUUAAGUGGUAUUUAUAGUUGCAAAACUAAUAAUUCAUCGAUUAUAAAAGUGCCCUUAAUAAUAAUUUUACACAUGGCAAGGUUGACCAAGAAUUCCACAUUUUGCCCUUCCAAAAUCUCAGCUGAUUUGGCUGUUACGGACUUGAUAUCACGACAUUAGGAAAGUGAUGUCGUGACACUGCUACUUAAUGAGCUUUGGGUUACGACAUCAUAGGUCCAAUGUCGUGACACUGCCGGUUUCCUUGGUCUAACUUCAAGGGCAAUAUCGUGACCUUGCAAGUCAAGAGGCUCAGUGUCGCGACUUCAUAGGUCCAAGGUCUAGACACCAAGGCUUUUUGAGGCAACAUCUUGGACAUGAUGGAAGGGGUGAUGUCACGGCACUAGGGGAGUGAUGUUGCAACACUAAGAGUCAGAAAACUGAGUGUUGCAACAUUAAUGUCUCGAGGUUGCAACACCGAAGUUGCUCUUUUGAUUCUUUUCUUCUUCUUCUUUAGUUAAGUUGCUAAAAGUGCCUUAGCCACACAUUAAGCUCAAAUGGACAUAUAAUUGAUGCGUUUUUUAUUAAAAGUAAUAUAAAAAUAACUUUAAAAUGUUGGAUCUGGUGCCCUAAGUGUAGUAUAUUUGUUUGUACGCUUGUAAUUUUUUCAAAUAGAUUGGUUAAUAAAAUUAUUCAUGAAUUACAUUAAUACCCUUUGUAUAUUGUCCUCACGUGGCUUUUGCAUGUAAAGAAAAAUAGAAACAAAUAUUAGUUCACUGGUUGUCUAAUGUUUAAUUAAUACUAAGUGGCAUUAUAUAGUUGAUUGUAAUACGGAAAGACAACUUAUACUAGUAGAUGAACCUAAACAUGUCCUUAGUCUAAUCGAAAAUAAGAAACCGAUUGAAAGAAUAAUAUGUCAUCUAUCAAGUCCAAUUGGGGAGACGCUUUGUGUUGGGUAUCGGAGUGGAUGACUCCUUGAAGAUAAAGAAAUAGAUGUGACUAACUGGACUGACAGUACAUCGGACCAAACCCAAGCAAUAUAGAUCCUAAAUCUAUUUAUAGAUUUAUUCACUUGUGACGUUCAUAGUGUGACAUACCUUAAUCUUGAGUGGAUGAUGGACUAUGUGUAACGACCCGAUAGUCAAGGGUGUCGAAAAUUGCAUUUUUAGGACUCCGUUUUCGUAAAUCGGACUUAUAAAUAUUUAUUAAAAAUAUUUAUUAAAAAUAUUUAUGAAGUAAGUUGUAUAGUUAAUUAGGUUUUGGCUAAGUGAAUUUGCAUGAAUUAAGAGUAAUUAGGUAUAAGGACUAAAUUGCAUAUAGGGUGAAAGUUGAAUUAUAGAUUCAAGAAUAAUUAAAGGGACUAAAUAAGCAAUUAUGCCAUUGUUCUUUAAUGAGGCGACAUAAGGUGUAAAAUUAUUAUUAUAUAUAUUAUUAAUAAAUUAAAGUUAAAAUAUAUUUAUUAUAAUAUGUUUUACUUAAUAUUUAAAUAAAUAUAUAUUAUAGUAAUAAAAGAAAUAAAUAAAGACAAAAGAAAAAUGAAACAAAAAGAAAGAAAAAGAAAAAGAGAAAGAGAAAGAAAGAAGAACCCACGACUUAGGGGUUUUAAAGUUCCAAGUUCAAUUGGUUAGUCAAUUUAGUCCAUUUUUGUUGUAAUUUUUAUGUUUUUAGAAUCCCGGUGUUAAGUACUACUCAACCCAUGUCAAAAUUUUAGCAAUUAUUGAGUUUUUAGGUGUUGUUAAUGUUGAAUAAUUUUAGUAUUAGAGAUUAAAUUGAUAGGUUUUUAAGUUAGAAAUGAAAAAAAAAGGAUUAAAUUGUAGAAUGGAUUGUAAAUAUUGAGUAAUAGGGACUAAAUUGUGAAAAAUUUAAAAUUUAGGGAUUUAAGUGAAACUAAGGAGUUAUAUUUAGUUUUAAAUGGAAAUUGUGUGAAAAUAUAGAAUUAAUUGUGAGAAUAAAAAUUAGUCUCGAUUUAGGGAUUAAAUUGGAAUUUAGGCAAAUAUUGAAUAAAAAUUGAAAUAUUAAAUAUAAAAUUGAAUUGUGUUGUAUUGAUGAAUUUUAAUUGUUUUAAUUCCGUAGCUAACAUCAUUCUGGAAUCCUCAACUAAAAAGGGAAAAAAUAAAAUUGACGGGGAAUAGCUCGAAAUUCCUAAUUUGUAUUUCUAUAAUCUGAAACUAGUUAUUAAUUGUUGUAUUUUUUAUUUAAUGCAUAUGGUGAGUGUUGAGGUAAGUAUUUGGCACUUUGACAUUGAAUUGAAUUAAAAGUUGAUUGAAUGGAUUGAAUUGAUAUAUAUAUUAUUAAUAUAUUGAUUAUUUGAAUUGAAAUGAAUAUAUAUGUGCAAAUAUGAUAAUUGAAUAUUGGUUGUAUUUGGAAAGUGAAAUUAAACCCUAUUAACUGUAUCAAGGCUGAGUCGGAUAUAGAUCGCAUGCCAUAGGAUUGGAAGAGUUUAGGGAUUUCUUCAACUUUGAGUCGAUGAGGCACUGGGUGCCAAUUUACUUCGGUUUAACCGAUGAGAAACUAGGUGUCAAAUUUAUAUAGCGUUGGGCGCAGUUAUUACUUCAGAUUUAUCUAAUGAGGCACGAGGUGCCAAACUGGUGUGUUGGUUGGAUCCGUGUAUUCGUUUGAGUCCGAGUCGUGUUAAUAAGGGUAAUUAAAUAAAAUAGUACUAUGAUUGAUAUUGGAUGAUAUUGUAUGUGAAAUGAAAAUGGGAUAGUGAAUUGAAAUGUAACACCCCUAACCCAUAUCUGUCGUCGAAACAGGGUUACAAAGCACUAACAGAAUAUACAGAUCAAUUUUUAGAUAUUUUCAUAUCAUUUAACAUUCAUAUCAAAAAUUAUUCAUAAUCAAGACCAAAAAUAAUGUCCCAUAUAAGAGCCCUCGAGGCUCAAAAUACACAUUAGAAACAAAUUGGGACUAAACCGGAUACUUAGAAAAUUUUUUGUGAAACUUCAAAAAUUUUUCCAAGGUGCAGGAGUCACACGCCCGUGUGACCAGGCUGUGUGGCUUACAGGACCAAGUGACACGUAUAUAUCUUAGGCCGUAUGGGCAUUUAUAAUAGGGCACACGGUCGUGUCCCAGCCUGUGUUAGUACCCAUGUAACUUUUUGACUUAGGUCACACGGCCAAGUCACACGCUCGUGUGCUAGGUCGUGUGAACAUAAUAUUUUGCAUUAAAUAGGUGCAGGGUCACACGGCCAAGCCACACUCCCGUGUGCCAGGCCGUGUGAUCAAUUAUGUGCAUUCUAUUUUGAAAUUUUAAAGAUACAGAGGACACACGACCAAGUCACACGCCUAUGUGCUAGGCCAUGUGUCACAAAUGGUUGAGAUACACGCUCGUGUUUCUGCCUGUGUGGAUAAAAUAAGGUCAUUUCUAAGGCCACAUUUCUCACCCAAUUUGUCUUCCACCUACAUUAACACUUAAACACAUUCACCAACCAAUUCAAAACAUUCAAAUCAAGCCAAAAUCAUGCCUUAAACAUAACAUAUUACCACACACAACCAAUGUGCUCUGAGGCACCUCAAAUGACAAUUUAUUAUCAUGUUUACUUAGUGUUCAUAUUUACCUAAAUAACCAAAUGCAUAUAUGAAAAAUCAAGCUCAAUACUUCUAACAUGAUAAAUCCACUUAUAUAUACAUAAAAACAUAACAAACAUAAGCCAUUCAAAUGGCUAUUAUCAAUCAAACAUUUACAUGCCAACAUUUUCGCUAAUUAACCUACACAUGUCAUUAUAACCAAAAUGAGUUUACUAUUUAUACCAAAAUGAGCCAAGGGAUAGUGUGAUGAUGCUCCGACCAAUCUCCAACCUUUACGAGCUUCUGAAUUACUAUAAAACAGAGGAAAUAAAACAGGGUAAGCAUUUAAUGCUUAGUAAGUUCGUAUAACAUAAAAUUUAACUUACCAUUUAAUCAAAAUUAAGGUAAGCAUAUAAAGCAUACUCAAGCAAGAUAGCCAAAAGCCCUAGCACAUAUCCUCAUCAACCAUGUUAGAUACAUAUUUCAUAUAAACAUCAAGGAACAUGUAUGAGCUCAACAAUAUCAAGUUUCCAUGUUUAUAACUUUCCACUUCUUGUAUUCAUAUAUCAACUCCAUAUACUUCAUGUAUAUACGGGUAAUGGUUCACUUUGAAUUCAUUUAUUUUCUCAUAUUAGGAUUUUGUUCGUUAAAUCAUUUAAAAUAUUGAUGGGUACUUGGGUAGUACACUUGAAGUGUACAAAUUUGUAAUCCAUCAAUUCAUAUUCGGGAAUGCUCAUGUGAGCACAUAAACGAGAAACUCUCUCUUGAACCAUAUAACAGGAAGGUCAUGUGAGCCAUGUAACGGGAAGCUUAUCCGGGCUGUAUAAAGGGAAGCUCAUAAGAGCCAUAAUUAGAAAGCUCAUACGAGCCAAUAAUGGGUAGCUCCGAAUAGCCAUUAAUCAGGAAGCUCCGGAUAGCCAUAUAUCAGGAAGUUCAAGUGAGCCGAUAUCGGGAAGCUCUGGAGAGCCAUUAACGGGAAGCUCACAAAAGCCUUUAAUUAGGAAGCUCACGAAGAGCCAUAUAUUGGGACGCUCGUAAGAGCUGUGGGGUGUCUACAACACAUGUAGAAUCACAACCAAUCCGGAUGCUUCGAAGAGCUAUUAACGGGAAGCUUGCAAGAACCAUAUAACGGGAAGUUCGAAAGGGCUAGUAACGGGACGCUCUUUCGAGUUGUGGUGUGUCUGCAACAUAUGCAGGACCACAACCAAUAUGGGAACUCAGUACCCAUCAAAUUUCAUUUAUUCAAACGAGACUUUAUAUUUGUCAGGCAUUAUUAGAUAUGUGAUCAAUUUCAUAUAUAUGUCAUUUACACCAUUAACAUAUACAACAUUCAAUUCAAACAUAUAAAUAUACAAAAUUUAGUUACACGAACUUACAUCGACAAUUGUUCGUGUACGUAAAAUCUACUAAUCCGAUAUUUUUUCUUUUUCUCGAUCUAACUCCAUAUUUAGUUUAGCCGGAUCUAAUUGAGCCAAAGUAAGCUUGUCUAUCUUUAAAUUUCAAACUGAGGUUUCUAUGUCUUUAAUUUUAGGAAAGAUGAUAAAAUGAUGAUAUUUUAUGUUUUUUUUUAUUUAUUUAUCAUCUUUUCAUCUUUUACUUUCCAAUUUACUCCUUUUCUUUAUUUAAUUUUCCAUGGAUGACUAAUUAUACUUAUCUACUAACUCCUCUUAAUGGUCUAUUUGCCAUAUAAGGACCUCCAAUUUUGAAUUCCAUAGCUAUUUGAUACUUAUAGCUACUAGAACUCAACAUUUGCAUUUUAUGCAAUUUGGUCAUUUCCAUUAAAUUAAACAUGUAAUCGAUAAAAUUUCUUUACUAAUUUUUCAUACGAUAUUCCUAUCAUAAUGCAGAUCAUGAAAUAAUAUUAAAAUAAUUUUUUCUUUCGAACUCGGAUUUGUGGUCCCAAAGCCACUGUUCCAAUUUCACUGAAAAUAGACUGUUACAUGAAACAUGAAAAUGAAACAUAUGAAUUACUUAUUCAUGAAUUGGAUAUGGAUUGAAUAAUAUUAUUGUUUAAAUAUAUAUUAAAUUGUGAAAAGCUAUUAUAUAGCAAGUGAUGAGAUUUGAGAAUGGUAUGAAUGAUGUAUUUAUGAAUUGAAUAUUGAAUGGCUAAUGCCAUUGUAUGAAUAAAUGUGGUCUUAAAUAUUCAAAUGUGUUUAUAAUUAAAAUAUGCAUAUUAUAUUAUUUUUUCUUUAAAUAUUCGGAUUAUAGAAAUACCACUAAGUUUUACUCAGCGUACGGUUUGGUUUUCCGUUUGCAGAUUAGGUACUUUAAUUUUGAUUGCCAAUUCAGCAUCCAACAACGCUUCCGAACUCAAACGUGGUGAUGUUUAUCCUUUGUGUCGGCAUAUACCUAUGGUGUCUAAAUAAUGGUUAUUUUUUGGUUUGACUGUAAAUGAGGUUAUAAGUUUAAUAUUGGUUUGGGAUAUACAUAUAAACACAUGUUUGUUUUUUAAGCUUUAUUAUGGCAUGUUAAAUUGAUGUCUAAAUGCCCAUGAACUAGGCAGUUUGAUUUGGAUUUGGCAUGUUUAUAAUUUGAAUUAAAAUGAUGCUUUGAUGACUUGUUUUGAUGAUAUGAAAUGCUUGAAAUUUAUGUUUGUUUGAUUGGUAAACUUUGAGAAUACUUUGAAACCCUAUUUCAGCGACGAAUAUGGGUUAGGGGUGUUACACUAUGUAUGCAUUACUUGUAUACAUUGAUGUAGUAAAAGCUUGAAUUUAAAUAGAUAAGGAACCAAAGGUUGGUGUGUUGGGUAUACGAUUUCUGCAGUAUGUAGCAUCAUUCAUAGUAGUGAAAUUUAUAGCCCAAGACAUAGGUAAAUAAUAUCCUCUCAUUGGCAUUACAUGAUAGAUGAAAAGUAAAUGUGGUCAUGGGUUGUUUGUCUUUAUGAUGAAUGACUUAAUUACUAUUUGAUAGUAAUUGACUCUUCAUGAAAGAAGAUGUAAUGGUUAUCACGAGAUAAAAUAGGAUUACAUCGGAAGAGUAGAUUUAUCCCAAAUAGAUUAAAGAUAUCCUAUAAGGGUAACACACUUGUAACAAGGUCAUUAGACGAGCAAUGAUAAAGUAGCUUUCAUAAUGAUAUGUCAUUAGAGAGAGAUCAACCACAAUACUAUAGCAAAACUAAAUUAGCUUAUAAUUAAGAGGCGAAAAUCUAAAACUUAAUUAUAAACCAUUUGAGUCUUAAUCACAUAUGUCGAAUCGGUCCCUCCACUAGCUCGUUGAAACCAAAAAUGAAUUGCAUGUUGAAUUGAACGAAUAGAAAUGGUAAAGUUAGAGAAAUGACAAACAUUCGAAAAUGAAUGUGGUUUUCUCACUAAGUAUGGAAAUGACUCGAGAAUUAAUUUAUAUUUUUUUAGGAAAUAAUUAAUUAUUUGAAGUUCGAAAAUGAAAUUAAAUUAAUUGGUCAUUUUGAAUCCAAUGAAUGUAGAAAAUUAAAUAUAAUUUUCUCAUAGAUUCUUUUAUGGUAAAGUUGCCAUGAUUUUAACGGAAUAAGAAUCGAGUUGAGAAAAUUAAUUAAUUGGAAAAUUAAUUAAUUAAUUAAAAUUAAUUUAUGAUGUUUAUGUUGGAAAAUAGAAAAACAUGUAUGGGAUUGGAUUGUUAUAAAGUGUUAGGUUAAAAGUUUAGGAAGCACUUAUAAUUGGACCUAGUAUAGGAAAGGCCCAAAAGCCCCUCAUAUUGAAUACAAUGGACAACAAGCCCUAGUAUGUUUAUCUAGGGUUGCCUCCCUACUUCUCUUAGUUCAACUAGGAGAUCAUUUUUAUAUUAAAUAAGCUUCUACUAAUUCAACAAGGGUUUCACUUUUUCUCUCUAUAAAUAGAUGGCAUCGGUAAGGCUAAAAAUAUACAAUAACUUUUGCACAACUUUGAGAUAUUGUCAUCCUGCUCGAAAAUAGUGAGAAUUUAUUUCUAAGUAUAAAUUCUAUUUUUCGAGAAUAACAGUUCUAUCGGUUUCUUUUAGAGAGAGUUUUACUUUCCCACUAAAAGUAAAGUAAAUAAUUUAUGGUUAUGUGUUUGAUUUGAAUUCGUUCGAGCACACAUUUGAAGCAGUUCGUGGUACAAGAAUAACCUAAAACACAUGUGUGAUUUUGAAAAAAGUUUAUUGCUAUAAAUAUCACAAACCGGCUCGAUUUUCAAAUUUUUAAUUUUAAAAUAUACAAGAAAACCAUUUUCGAACUGAAUUUUUUUCAACAAAAAAUGCAUUAAUCACAAAUCCUAACCAACAUAUGAAAAAAAGGAUAAAAUACUCGAAACAUCGCCUGGAAACAAGCUCUUUAGGUGUGAAAAAGAGCUUAAUUUGUCGUUCAAAAUACGUCAUAUCAAACUCCUUCUACUUAAGUCUUUGCUUGUCCUUAAGCAAACACAUGAAAGAUACACAAGACAUCCCUUAAACUUUGUUAAGCAAUAAAAUGCAUGACAAUCGAGUAUUGAAUUGGUACAAGAAAUUUGUUAUAUGCAACUUAAGAUUGAUGUUUAACAAACUUAUGCACUUUCAAAGUAAAUCUACCUAGUUCAAAAAAUUACAUAAGUAACAAAUAAUUCAUGCAAAUAUACACUCAAUUAUGUUACUCCAUCAAUAUAAAUUAUAUAAUUUAUUUAUUAAAUAUUAUUUUCAUUUAAUUAAUUAUGAUUAAUAAGUUUUUAUGUAAAAUUCAAACAAUUUUAUUAAAAUAACAUCUUAACUAAAAUUUACGAUUUUUAUUUCACUUAAAAAUAUAAUUGAUUUCACUAAAUUUUUAGAUAACAUAAUGUUAUAAAGUGCAAAUUUAAUAAAUAGCGUACUUCAUAGUUGAUUAUUGUUAUUAUACAUGGAAAGUUGUUAUAGAUAGUAAAAGUAAAAUAUAAAAAAUCGGUCCUACAACAAACUUAACUAUUAUAGUGAAAUGUUGUUAUAAAAGUUAAUUGUUAUAGAGAUAAUUGAUUGUAUUAAUAAAUUUAAAUAUCUUUUAAAUAUAUUUUUUAACUUAAAAUUAUAUAUAUUUUAAUUCACAAAUUCAUAUUUAAAAUCAACUUUUAACUUCUUAAAGCAUUUUUGGCUACAAUACUAAAGGUUUGAAAAAUAAAAUAUGUAUAUAUUUUUUUGGACAAAUAAUAUUUAUUUUAUAUAUAUAAUUAAAAUCAUAAUAAAUUAUCAUUAUUUAUAAAUUCAAGUGGAGUCCUAGUUAAUAUUAUGACAUUGAAUACUUGCAUCAUAUGCAAAUUCAUAUAGGUGGGUUUUCUUCAAAUUUAUUAUAACUUAAAUUUCAUUAUGUGUGAAUUCUUUUUAAUUUGAUUAUAUUUUUAUAAUGCUUGAUUUUUAUUAUAAUUUAUUUGAAAUAAAAUGAUAUGUGAAUUAAAAAUGCAUUCUUAUUUAAAUUUUGAUCUUUGAGGAAGUCAAAGAAUAGUGAUAAAUAAGAUAUAUCUAUCUAUAUUAUAUUAAAACUCAUAAAUCAAUAUGACAUCAACUCAACUGAAAAAUGAUUAAAAUGUCUUUGUCUAUACAAAAUAAGUUACAUUAUUGUAAGAGUAAUUUUUGUCUUUAUAUAAAAUCAAUAAAAUUCACAUAUAAAUUUUACCUUUUAAUCAAAAUUUCAUUUUUUUUAUAUAAACUUUUAAUAAUAUAUUUAUUACAUAAAAUUUUCCACUCCUAUAUAAGCAGUGUUCAUAGCCUAAUAUUUUUAUCAAAAACUAAAGAAAAAUUCUAAUACAUGUAAAAAUAUUAGAAUAAUGAUAAUUUUAGCCUUUAAAGUUUAUAUCUUUCAUCAAUUUGAUCUUUAUUAUUUUUUAAGCUAAAUUUAGUAAUUAACUUUUUAAAAAGAGAUAGAUUACUCAUAAUUGAGGAUUUGGGUGCCUCACAAAAGUCAAAUUGCUUUUGUUUUAAUGAAAAUAUUGACUAAAAUAUUAAUUUUUUAAAUAAUAUUGGCGUGACAACCAGCAUGGCAGUUAAUGUGCAAUUCAUACAGAUAUGACACUAUUUGUUUUAUAUGCCAUGCUAAGAUAUGACACUAUUUGUUUUAUAUACCAUGCUAACAAAUAAUUUAAAAAUUAUAAAAAUAUUCAAAAGACUUAAAAAUUAAAAAAAAUAUAUAAAAAUUUCAUUAAAAAAAUUAGCCUAAGUACAUGUAAAUUGCCAUGCUUAAAAAUUUAGCGAUUUAGUUUAUAUUUCCAUUAAACAUAUAAUAACUCGACUAUUUUUGAAUGAUUGAUAUUUAAAUUUAUAAUUUUUUAAAAGGUCAAGAGUCAAAUUUAAUUAAAAAAGAAGAGAAAUUGAUAAAAUAUAUAAAUAUGAAGAACUAAAUUUAUUAUCAUAAAAAAAUAAAUAAAAAUGGAUAAAUUUCAUAUAGUUGGUCAAAAUACAUUAAUAGUAUAGCUACGUAUUGUUACCAAUAUACCACUACAAAUACGGUAUCGAAGUUUCUCAGCCUCUCUUAUUAAACAAGCGGAAUAGCUGAUCUCUCACUCUCAAAAAAGCUCCACUUUUCAAACCCUAGCCUCUAUCUGGGAGCCCUUUCCAAUGGCUUCGCGUCGACUCCUCUCUUCUCUCCUCCGCUCCACUUCUCGCCGAUCUCUCUCCAAAUCUCCCAGCCCUACCCCUCGCCUCCCUUCACCUUCCUCCACGCGCCGCCCUUUUCCUUGCCCCUACUUUCUCUCACGCGAUGCUGAGUACUCUACAUCUGCGGCUGCUGCCGCUACUGCUCCAUCGCAGCCUCCUCCCGCUAAGAAGGGCGGAAAAGGUAAGAUCACUGAUGAGUUCACUGGUGCUGGAGCCAUCGGUCAGGUUUGUCAAGUGAUCGGUGCCGUCGUCGAUGUUAGAUUCGAUGAAGGUUUGCCUCCGAUUUUGACGGCGCUUGAAGUGAUGGACCACUCGAUCCGGCUUGUGCUGGAAGUGGCUCAGCACUUGGGUGAAAACAUGGUUAGGACCAUUGCUAUGGAUGGAACGGAGGGACUUGUACGAGGGCAGCCGGUUCUCAACACUGGAUCUCCUAUCACUGUAAAGUCUUUUUUCUUAUUGUUUUCAUUUUUAUGGGAGAUGAUAAUCUUUUUGAAGAUUUCUUGUGUUUUGGUAUUUUUGGAAUUAAGGUGAACAUCGUAUUCAUUUUAUGGAUCUGAAUUACAUUUUAUCGGAAUCUGAUCUGGAAUAAGUGCGAAAUUUCAUAUACAAAUAUUUCUCUUCCUAGAGUCCGUUUUCAGGGAAUUUUCUUUCGAACCUAUUGGGCAUCUAAUUAGAACUCAUUAACUAUUUAUCUGUUGGUCAACUACAUACAGCUGAUAUUGCCCUUUGAAUUGAUAAUAGUAAUAAAUAAAAGCUUUUUUUUAUGUGUUAUCCAUGACUCGGGUAUCUUGAUCAGGAUCCUAACGUUUCUCCCUUGUUUAUUGAGCUUAACAAUUUUGUGUCUUGGCCUUUUGGUUUUCUUCUUUUCAUCUAGUCAUUGUUCUUUUAUGGGCUUUUUUUAACCUUUAGAAGUUGUCUAGCGAUAACACGUUUUUUAAUUUCAUUAACCUCUUAAUCAUGUUUGUUUGUUCUUGUUAGGUGCCUGUUGGUAGAGCUACUCUUGGUCGUAUCAUAAACGUCAUUGGUGAGCCUAUUGAUGAGAAAGGCGAACUCAGUAAGAGACUUUCAAACUUUCUAAUUAUUUGAAAUGUUUACUUUAUAGUGUAGAGGUGGAAAGUCUAACUGAGUAAGUGCUUGACAGAAACCGACCACUUCUUGCCCAUUCACAGAGAAGCACCAGCCUUUGUCGAUCAAGCUACUGAACAACAGAUCCUUGUCACUGGUAUUAAGGUGCCAUUUAUUGCUUGCGAUUAUGUAUGCCUUUGAUGCUGUGCUGUUUGUUAUCCCUUUGUGUGGAAAGAUGCACUGCUGUAUCAGGAUGAGCUUGUGUUCACACAUUGUGUUUUUUGAAUCUAAAUGAGACUGUUUAAUCAGGUUCAAAAUUUUAUUCUCUUGAUUUAUUUUACAGGUUGUUGAUCUCCUUGCACCAUAUCAAAGAGGAGGGAAGAUUGGACUUUUUGGUGGUGCUGGUGUGGGGAAGACAGUGCUUAUUAUGGAACUUAUCAACAAUGUUGCUAAAGCCCACGGUUGGUUUUACGUUAUAUUUGUGGCUGCUUCUUACUUUGUUUAUUAAUCUUAUAUUUUUCUUGCUUUGGUACAUAGGUGGUUUCUCAGUGUUUGCCGGUGUUGGAGAACGUACUAGAGAGGGUAAUGACUUGUAUAGGGAAAUGAUUGAGAGUGGUGUUAUUAAGCUAGGUGAAAAGCAGGUAACUGCUAAACAUGCAUUCAUCUUGCCCCUGUUAAUGUAGUUUUUACCUUACCACCAUGAUUUUUUGUUAUCAUCAUUACAGGCUGAUAGCAAGUGUGCUCUUGUUUAUGGUCAAAUGAAUGAGCCCCCUGGUGCUCGUGCUCGUGUUGGCCUUACUGGUCUGACUGUUGCUGAACAUUUCCGUGAUGCUGAAGGGCAGGAUGUGCUUCUCUUCAUUGACAACAUUUUCCGUUUUACUCAAGUAAGAUGGCGUAUUGUAUGAGGUUUUGAAGCACUCAAAGAGUACAUGUUGCGUGUUCCUGAUGGUUUGGAUUGUUUUUUUUCCCUUCAGGCAAACUCUGAAGUGUCUGCCUUGCUAGGUCGUAUUCCAUCUGCUGUCGGUUACCAACCAACCUUGGCUACUGAUCUUGGAGGUCUUCAGGAACGUAUUACCACCACCAAGAAAGGUUCUAUCACUUCUGUUCAAGCCAUAUAUGUGCCUGCUGAUGACUUGACAGAUCCAGCUCCUGCGACAACCUUUGCUCACUUGGAUGCCACAACUGUGUUGUCCCGACAGGUAUCGUGCACAUCUGUUUUUAGCUGUUGAUGAGAUGAUCCAUCUGGUGUUACGUUUUCAUUGGUUGGUGCUUUUAGAUUAUGACACUUGCUUCCUUUUUUCUGGUUAUUGUCAGAUCUCCGAGCUUGGUAUUUAUCCUGCUGUGGAUCCUUUGGAUUCUACAUCUCGUAUGCUCUCUCCUCAUAUUUUGGGUGAGGAACACUACAACACUGCUCGUGGUGUCCAGAAGGUUCUCCAAAACUACAAGAACUUGCAAGAUAUUAUUGCUAUUUUGGGAAUGGACGAGCUUAGUGAAGAUGAUAAAUUAACUGUUGCUCGUGCUCGCAAGAUCCAAAGGUUCUUGAGCCAGCCUUUCC
rnacentral:lncRNA from 1 species